rnacentral:tRNA from 1 species
GCCUGGGUGGCUUAGUCAGUUAAGCAUCUGACUUUGGCUCAGGUCAUGAUCUCACAGCUUGUGAGUUCAAGCCCCGUAUCAGGCU